UUUCAUGAAGUCCUUCGGCAUCCUAAAAGUUUUUUAAGCAAAUCAUAAGCAACUUGGAAAGUAAGGAAAUGACAACAUGAAAUAUAUGAAAUUGCAGUGGUUUAGUAUAGCCAAAUUCUAUUACUCAUAGUUUGAUAUCUGUUAGAAACAUUGAUUAAACUUUGUAGACCUAUUAUGCUUCCAUUUGAAGCUAAAGGUUUUGAACAGUUUUGCAUAUUUCUG
rnacentral:misc_RNA from 1 species